rnacentral:rRNA from 1 species
UUUUUUUCACCCAUGUCUUUUGCGCACUUGUUGUUUCCUGGGCGGGUUCGCCCGCCACCAGGACCAAACCAUAAACCUUUUUUUUAUGCAGUUGCAAUCAGCGUCAGUAAAAACAAUGUAAUUAUUACAACUUUCAACAACGGAUCUCUUGGUUCUGGCAUCGAUGAAGAACGCAGCGAAAUGCGAUACGUAGUGUGAAUUGCAGAAUUCAGUGAAUCAUCGAAUCUUUGAACGCACAUUGCGCCCUUUGGUAUUCCAAAGGGCAUGCCUGUUCGAGCGUCAUUUGUACCUUCAAGCUUUGCUUGGUGUUGGGCGUUUUUUGUCUCCCUCUUUCUGGGAGACUCGCCUUAAAACGAUUGGCAGCCGGCCUACUGGUUUCGGAGCGCAGCACAUAUUUUGCGCUUUGUAUCAGGAGAAAAGGACGGUAAUCCAUCAAGACUCUACAUUUUUAACUUUUGACCUCGGAUCAGGUAGGGAUACCCGCUGAACUUAAGCAUAUCAAUAAGCGGAGGA